UACGGGGGGGGUAAGCGUUGUUCGGAAUUACUGGGCGUAAAGGGCUCGUAGGCGGCCAACUAAGUCAUACGUGAAAUCCCUCAGCUUAACUGGGGAACUGCGUGUGAUACUGGAUGGCUUGGAUUUGGGAGAGGGAUGCGGAAUUCCAGGUGUAGCGGUGAAAUGCGUAGAUAUCUGGAGGAACACCGGUGGCGAAGGCGGCAUCCUGGACCAUGACUGACGCUGAGGAGCGAAAGCCAGGGGAGCAAACGGG
rnacentral:rRNA from 1 species